rnacentral:rRNA from 1 species
ACUUAAAUUGAAGAGUUUGAUCAUGGCUCAGAUUGAACGCUGGCGGCAGGCCUAACACAUGCAAGUCGAGCGGUAGCACAGAGAGCUUGCUCUCGGGUGACGAGCGGCGGACGGGUGAGUAAUGUCUGGGAAACUGCCUGAUGGAGGGGGAUAACUACUGGAAACGGUAGCUAAUACCGCAUAAUGUCGCAAGACCAAAGUGGGGGACCUUCGGGCCUCAUGCCAUCAGAUGUGCCCAGAUGGGAUUAGCUAGUAGGUGGGGUAACGGCUCACCUAGGCGACGA